AGAACUUUAGUUUGAUCCCCCGAAACUAGGUGAGCUACUCCAAGUCAGCCUAAUAAUAGGGCCAACCCGUCUCUGUGGCAAAAGAGUGGGAAGAACUUUGAGUAGGGGUGAUAGACCUAUCGAACCUAGUAAUAGCUGGUUGCCUGUUAAAUGAAUAAAAGUUCAGCCUCUUUGCUUCUUCAUUGGCUUUUCCCCAUAAAACAUAAUAAGAAGCCCAGAGAGUUAAUCAAAGGGGGAACAGCUCCUUUGAAAAAAGACACAACUUUUUCAGGUGGUUAAAGAUUAUACAAAACUAAGGUAGCAUGUUUUGGUGGGCCUAAAAGCAGCCACCCACAUAGAAAGCGUUAAAGCUCAAACAUACCUUUUACCAUACAUUCUAAUAAUUAAAUCUUACACCCCUAAAUUUACCAGGCCGACCUAUGCAAACAUAGGUGUGACCAUGCUAACAUGAGUAAUAUGGGGGCAUAGGCCCCCUCCCUGCCACGUGUAAAUCGGAACGGACCUUCCACCGAACUUUAACGGACCCAAAUAAAGAGGGGACUGAAUAUUAAAUUAAACAACUAGAAAAUAUUCAACAGCAACCGUUAACCCUACACGGGUGUGCUAAAAGGAAAGACUAAAAGAAAAAGAAGGAACUCGGCAAACACUUUAAGCCUUCGCCUGGUUACCAAAAAACAUCGCCUUUUGGAAUCAAUAAAUAAGAGGGCCCACCUGGCCACUGGCUAUUAUGUUUAACGGGCCGGGGUAUUUUAACCGUGCGAAGGUAGCACAAUCACUUGUCCUUUAAAUGGGGACCUGUAUGAAUGGCACAACGAGGGCUUGACUGUCUCCUUUUGUAAGUCAAUGAAAUUGAUUUCCCCGUGCAGAAGCGGGGAUAAAACCAUAAGACGAGAAGACCCUGUGGAGCUUUAGACACUAAAACAGCCCAUGUUAUAAUGACCCCUUUACAAAGGAUUGAACUAAGUGGGCCUGUCUUGAUGUCUUGGGUUGGGGCGACCCCGAGGAAUAAAGUAACCCCGGGUGGACAGGGACAAUAAACCCUAAAACCAAGAGCCACCCCUCUAAUUAACAGAACUUCUGACCAAUUAGAUCCGGCAUGACCGAUUAACGGACCAAGUUACCCCAGGGAUAACAGCGCAAUCCCCUUUUAGAGCCCUUAUCGACAAGGGGGCUUACGACCUCGAUGUUGGAUCAGGA
rnacentral:rRNA from 1 species